CCCUAGGGCGUAACACCAGAGCCACAUUAAAAAAUAUCAAACUAAAUGUCAACUAAUAAACCUGUUUUAAAAAGGGGAGAAGAAAGAAGCUUAAACAGUUCUUUUUACUAAAAACGAAGCAAACGUUUUGGAGUAAAGAAUAAGCGUCUACAACCACGGGCAAACAGGUCAGCGUCAUCGGAUCAGAUUACUACCACGCCAGGCAAAAACCUACGCAGGACCCAGGCAGAUGCCGCCAGCGACAAACUCUCUGUGCUGUCACAUUCAAUGGAAAAAGGCUAUCAAGAGGAGGGUACUGAGAACACAUACCAACGGAUACCCCACAGUGGGACCCAAUAAGAUUGAUGUUGAUUUGAGAGAUGGCUCCCAUGCGAAUUUGAUCAAAUGCUCGGGUCAAGAAGGCAGCAAAGGUGCUAGCAAAAGCAACGGUCCGACCACGGGUGGCACAUCCCAGUGCCACGCUCACCUGCAAUGCAAAGGAGACAAAUCAGAACAGCCCUGGAACGGCUGCCAGAGAAGCACCAUGAAUGAAUGUGCGGGCUGGCGGAGGCAGGGACAUGGCUAGCUGGCUGUGGACACCCAUCUAAAGGGGGUCCCUGCUUGGCUCCAAGCAACGGGUAGCAGGAGGGAAUGCUGCCUCUGUGCUGACAGAUCUUCCUAGCACCUACAGCUGCUGACAAGCUUGGGAUACUUCGGACCUAGAUCCUUGGUGUCAUGGCUGUGACUCUUGGCCUGCUGCCCUCAGUAUACCUGGAGAUGGUUCUGUCUACUAUGCCCUUCCUAGUGGUCCCAUAAGGCACCCCACAAAUUGCCUGGCUACUCUCUACUUGUUUCCUCAGAGACAUUUUUUCUCUAGUUCCUUUGCUUUUUUAAGUGGAAAGAAGAACCAUAAUAUGGGGCUUGCCUCCUGUGCCCAGCAGGCCACUGUCAGUGAGAAGACCCAAGAGGGACACCCACAGCACACGCACCAUGUUCUGCUCGGCGAUGAAACAUUCAAUGAAGCGCUCAGGGUGUUCUCUCUUGAAUAUGUCUGAGAAGGUGGAGUUCUUGGUGUCACCAUCCAGCACAAUGACUCUAUCAUUUGCAUGGCCCAGCUUGGCCAGAGCCAAACCACAUGCUCUCCGAGUAGCUAUCUGGAAAAGUCAGUGGAGUUUCUUAGAGCAAAUUUAGAAGGAAGGUGAAGUUUUGUGGAUUACCAGUUGUCUUCUGUCUUAGAAACAAAUUGGUGAUUUACCAAUAAUCUUCUUUAGGGUUUUAAAAAUGGGUUGCUAGCCCAUCUUAAAUCCAUACUUGACUCACUGGGUAUCAAUUCUCAAAAGUAAACUUAUUCUUCUGCCCCAUUCAUAUAGUUUACCAAAAAACUUAAAUGUCACCAAAUGCAAAUGCCUGUUGACUUUUUAAACUAUAAAACUGGUAAGGCUAACUGCAAAAAAAUAAAAUGUAAAACUUUAGAAUCAUGAUACCAGUAAUAAAAAAUUCCAUUAGCAUAUUAUUUGA